GUACAGGAACAAGGACUGGGCAAGACCGGUGCCAGCCGCCGCGGUAAUACCGGCAGUCCAAGUGAUGGCCGAUAUUAUUGGGCCUAAAGCGUCCGUAGCCGGCCGGACAAGUCCGUUGGGAAAUCGACGAGCUCAACGCGUCGGCGUCCAGCGGAAACUGUCCGGCUUGGGGCCGGAAGACUUGAGGGGUACGUCCGGGGUAGGAGUGAAAUCCUGUAAUCCUGGACGGACCACCAAUGGGGAAACCACGUCAGGAAGUCGGACCCGACAGUGAGGGACGAAAGCUAGGGUCUCGAACCGGAUUAGAUACCCGGGUAGUCCUAGCUGUAAACGAUGCUCGCUAGGUGUGCCGUAGGCUACGAGCAUGCGAUGCGCCGUAGGGAAGCCGAGAAGCGAGCCGCCUGGGAAGUACGUCUGCAAGGAUGAAACUUAAAGGAAUUGGCGGGGGAGCACCACAACCGGAGGAGCCUGCGGUUUAAUUGGACUCAACGCCGGAAAUCUCACCGGUCCCGACAGUAGUAAUGACAGUCAGGUUGACGACUUUACUCGACGCUACUGAGAGGAGGUGCAUGGCCGCCGUCAGCUCGUACCGUGAGGCGUCCUGUUAAGUCAGGCAACGAGCGAGACCCGCACUUCUAGUUGCCAGCAACACCCUUGAGGUAGUUGGGUACACUAGGAGGACUGCCGCUGCUAAAGCGGAGGAAGGAACGGGCAACGGUAGGUCAGUAUGCCCCGAAUGGACCGGGCAACACGCGGGCUACAAUGGCUAUGACAGUGGGAUGCAACGCCGAGAGGCGACGCUAAUCUCCAAACGUAGUCGUAGUUCGGAUUGCGGGCUGAAACCCGCCCGCAUGAAGCUGGAUUCGGUAGUAAUCGCGUGUCAGAAGCGCGCGGUGAAUACGUCCCUGCUCCUUGCACACACCGCCCGUCAAAGCACCCGAGUGGGGUCCGGAUGAGGCCGU
rnacentral:rRNA from 1 species